UAUCCCAUGUUAGCAUUGGGGUAUAUCAGGAGUAUAUCAAAUCUUGGACAAAUAGCAUAAAUGAGUAUAGAGUUGCCUUGUAUGAGAAGGUUGAUAUAUUUAUUGCUUAACUUAUCUUCCUAGUUAUAUGUUUAAUAUACCGAUAGAGAUAUCGGUAGAAACUAUGUUACAGAAAAUUGGAGGAAUUCGUUUGAUAUUCCUUGAACCCCUCUCUUGUUUAGAAGCUUAUCUUUGUCUCAGUCAUUGACCAGUAUAGGAACAAGUUGACACUUCUUUGUUUUUUGCGAAACCACACAGUGCUUGAUUUCAUUGAUUAGGAAGGAGGAUUUAAAAAACAAAAAAGAGAAGUUAGGGCUCCGAAAUGGAGUCUGAAGGAUCCGCUGAACGGAAAGAAAGAGCAAAGACACAGCUAGCUGAAGGCCAAAGCAAAACAAGUAUUUGGUGGAUCAAGGAGGCUUGAGGUCCUGCUUCAUGAAUUUUGUCAUCAGAAUCACUGAACAAAUCUUUUCCUUCUAGGUAUUAGAAGAAAACGCCAAGAUGGUGGGAGUCUUACAAGAGGGAAAAAAACAAAAACCGAAAAGGAUAACAGCGACUAAUUUGUUUGCAACUGAAUUCAUUCAGAAGUCUAUUUCACUUGACGAUAUAUGGUUCAUGCUUUGCUGGAUAGAAUGGUACCGUUGAUGCAGGACAUCAGAUUGAAAGGCAUGCUUAUUUCCACCCAGGGGAGGAAAAAGAAGGGCGAGGGAAUCUUGAAUAUUUCUAUUGGACAAGUUUGUGGAAUCGGAUGUUCAAUUCAUUGGAUGGGAUAAAGGGUCUUGAGAAAGGUGAAAGCAGCUCUACAUUGCUGAUAUCAUACUGCAGAAUUUUUCUUCACCCUGCUUGUCAUCGCUUGCUGAAUGGAAUAUUGGGACCUGACUGAUUGAUCACCCUGAGAAGGUCUGGCUAAUAUUUCUCUCGCGAAGAAACAACAACAAAGAAAUCAGCUAAACUUCUUAGAUCUGUGGGAGGGUAAGUGCAACGUGUGUUCUGCGUCACUCUUGAUGUACUGUUUAAAUUAGUCGUUCUGUUCUUUCCAUUAUUGAUGGAAAGGAAAUUCUUAAUUCACUCGCAGUAAUCAAUAGCUAAGUCAAACAUCUUGUCGCCUUGUAUUUUGCCUAGUAAUUUGUGCAGUCACGCAAGUGAUCUCCUCUAAA